GAGAGAUGGCUCAGCAGGUAAGAGCACUGGCUGCUCUUCUGUGGGACCUGGGUUUGAUUCCCAGUACUCUCG
rnacentral:tRNA from 1 species